CCCAGAUGUGAGCGCUCAAAAAAAAGUGGCCCGGACAGAGACUGUGUGAAGCACACCGCGGAUUCUAACCUUUAAUCAAAUAACACUUGAAUAGAAGUACGUUAUUUUUUCCAGUAGGGGUCAGCAGAGGAACAUAUUCUCAAAGACCCUCUGGUACGUAGGUUGCAUUUUGAACCAAUUGCAUACAACCGGAGAAGUCCGAGCCAAUCAAAACGCAUUUUAUUUUCACAUCAAGAAAAGAAGCUGGGGAAACAUAGGGGACUUUGGUACAAUCAGCAUGGCGGAGGACAGCGUUACAUUGACUUGACAUUUAUUCAAAAUGUUUGGGAAUAUACCCAUCAUCAUAUUUACGAUUAGGUUGUGUGACUCGAGCUCCCAGAUUAGCCAGCAGUGUCCGUCUCAGUGAAUAUGGAGAGGGGGUCAGCAGAUGGGGGACGGGCACAGGCUGGGUCCAGCUGUUCCCCCUCUGCCCCCGACACAAACAAGGAGGCAGAGCUGAGCAUGGCCAUGGUCUGGUCCAUCCAAGAGGCGGUGGAGCGCCAGACGCUGCAGAUUGGCAUCUCGGCUUGCGGUGCCACAGCUGUGGUAGACGUCCUGCAGGCACUGGGCAUCACCGUGGUGGCGGAGUUAGUGGAUAGCCAUGUUAGGACGCGCCUGCGCAGGAAUGAGUCCCCGCUGCCAGACUACCUGCACUCACGGAGUGAAGCAGGUGCCACCCACCAGCAGCUGAUAGCUGGCGCAGAGCAGGCCAGUGAUGGCAAGGUGCUGGGGCGCUUCUUCUCCCUGCACCCCCAGCGCAAAGUUAGGCUGGUUCCCUGGCUGGCCAGUUGGAUCCGCAGGGGAGCAGUGCCUGUGGCCACCAUGAACAUGCAGCGGGCAGUACCCGCAGGAGAGGAGAUACCUGAUGCCUGGCACCACCAGCUGAUCUUUGGGGUGGGACCCAAUGCUGUGUUCAUGGCCAAUCCUUUAGAUGUGGGUCAGUAUGGGAUAACACAGUUGUACUCACGUACAGUGCCACAGUAGAUAUGUGUGCGUGUUUAAUUUCACAGUGUGUGUUGU
rnacentral:lncRNA from 1 species